UGGCGGACGGGUGAGUAACGCGUGGGCAACCUGCCUCAUACAGGGGGAUAACAGUUAGAAAUGACUGCUAAUACCGCAUAAGACCACAGCACCGCAUGGUGCAGGGGUAAAAACUCCGGUGGUAUGAGAUGGACCCGCGUCUGAUUAGGUAGUUGGUGGGGUAACGGCCUACCAAGCCGACGAUCAGUAGCCGACCUGAGAGGGUGACCGGCCACAUUGGGACUGAGACACGGUCCAA
rnacentral:rRNA from 1 species